rnacentral:tRNA from 1 species
CCCUGGGUAGUGCAAAAGGCUUACACUUGGCUGGUAACCAAAAGGCUGGUGGUUCAAACCCACCCACUGGCA